rnacentral:snRNA from 1 species
CCACCACUCUGGCCUUUUGGCUUAGAUCAAGUGUAGUAUCUGUUCUUGAAAGCAUAAUAGCUUUUACCUGGGUACGCCCAGUCAUGCCUAUUAUCUAAUUUUUGUCGCCCCGUCCUUCGAGCUCUGCUUGCAACUCGAAAGAUAAGAUGACCUUGCUACUGCACUAUCGGCUUGUGUCGUCAGGGGAAC